GAUGAACGCUAGCUACAGGCUUAACACAUGCAAGUCGAGGGGUAACAAGAGAAAAGCUUGCUUUUCUUGUUGACGACCGGCGCACGGGUGAGUAACGCGUAUCCAACCUGCCUAUAACUAGGGAAUAACCUUGCGAAAGUAAGACUAAUACCCUAUGAUUUCCUUUGAUGACAUCAGAUUAGGAAUAAAGAUUUAUCGGUUAUAGAUGGGGAUGCGUCUGAUUAGCUUGUUGGCGGGGGAACGGCCCACCAAGGCAACGAUCAGGAGGGGUUCUGAGAGGAAGGUCCCCCACAUUGGCACUGAGACACGGUCCAAACUACUACGGGAGGCAGCAGUGAGGAAUAUUGGUCAAUGGGCGGGAGCCUGAACCCGCCAAGUAGCGUGCAGGAUGACGGCCCUAUGGGUUGUAAACUGCUUUUAUACAGGAAUAAAGUUAGCCACGUGUUGUUAUUUGUAGGUACUGUAUGAAUAAGGACCGGCUAAUUCCGUGCCAGCCGCCGCCGUAA
rnacentral:rRNA from 1 species